rnacentral:misc_RNA from 1 species
GGCAUUAUAUGAUUGUCAAAUUCUUUCCACCCAGCAUGAUGAGGCAAGUCUGAAGGAUUCUAUUCCUGCAGAAACUGCUAAUUGUAUAAAUAAAUUCCAAGAUGAAGUUUUAUCUUCAAUAUCAGAUGAUCUUCACACUCCUGUUGCACUGGCAGCAAUGUCGGAUCCAUUGAAGUUGAUCAAUGAUCUCUUGCAUACACGGAAGGGUAAAAAGCAAGCAUUGCGGAUGGAGUCAAUUGCAGCAUUAGAGAAUGCUAUAAGGAAUGUUCUAGCAAUUCUGGGGCUUGUGCCAGCCAGUUACGCAGAGGCUUUAAAUGAAUUGAGGGAGAAAGCUUUGAAGCGUGCAAAG